rnacentral:tRNA from 1 species
UGCGGGGUGGAGCAGUCUGGUAGCUCGUCGGCCUCAUAAGCCGAAAGUCAGGGGUUCAAAUCCCCUUCCCGCUA